rnacentral:rRNA from 1 species
AUUGAACGCUGGCGGCAUGCUUUACACAUGCAAGUCGAACGGUAACAGGCCGCAAGGUGCUGACGAGUGGCGAACGGGUGAGUAAUGCAUCGGAACGUGCCCAGUCGUGGGGGAUAACUACUCGAAAGAGUAGCUAAUACCGCAUACGAUCUAUGGAUGAAAGCGGGGGACCGUAAGGCCUCGCGCGAUUGGAGCGGCCGAUGUCAGAUUAGGUAGUUGGUGGGGUAAAGGCUCACCAAGCCAACGAUCUGUAGCUGGUCUGAGAGGACGACCAGCCACACUGGGACUGAGACACGGCCCAGACUCCUACGGGAGGCAGCAGUGGGGAAUUUUGGACAAUGGGCGCAAGCCUGAUCCAGCAAUGCCGCGGGCAGGAAGAAGGCCUUCGGGUUGUAAACUGCUUUUGUACGGAACGAAACGGCUCUGGUUAAUACCCGGGGCUAAUGACGGUACCGUAAGAAUAAGCACCGGCUAACUACGU